rnacentral:rRNA from 1 species
UCGAACGUAAGAUGACUGUAGGUGAAGGCUUACAUCUCUUCGGAGCAUUUUACGAGGUGCUGCAUGGUUGUCGUCAGCUCGUGCCGUGAGGUGUCGGGUUAAGUCCCAUAACGAGCGCAACCCUACCUCUAGUUGCCAUCAGGUAAUGCUGGGGACUCUAAAGGAACUGCCUACGCAAGUAGUGAGGAAGGCGGGGAUGACGUCAAAUCAGCAGGCCCUUACGUCCAGGGCUACACACGUGCUACAAUGGCCGAUACAGAGGGCAGCUACCUGGUGACAGGAUGCAAAUCUCCAAAGUCGGUCUCAGUUCGGAUCGGAGUCUGCAACCCGACUCCGUGAAGUUGGAUUCGCUAGUAAUCGCGCAUCAGCCAUGGCGCGGUGAAUACGUUCCCGGGCCUU